rnacentral:rRNA from 1 species
UACGGAGGGUGCAAGCGUUAUCCGGAUUCACUGGGUUUAAAGGGUGCGUAGGUGGGCAGGUAAGUCAGUGGUGAAAUCUCCGGGCUUAACCCGGAACUGCCGUUGAUACUAUUUGUCUUGAAUAUUGUGGAGGUAAGCGGAAUAUGUCAUGUAGCGGUGAAAUGCUUAGAUAUGACAUAGAACACCAAUUGCGAAGGCAGCUUACUACACAAUGAUUGACACUGAGGCAACGAAAGCGUUGGGGAGUCAAACAGGGA